UACGAAGGGGGCUAGCGUUGUUCGGAUUUACUGGGCGUAAAGCGCACGUAGGCGGAUCGAUCAGUCAGGGGUGAAAUCCCAGAGCUCAACUCUGGAACUGCCUUUGAUACUGUCGAUCUGGAGUAUGGAAGAGGUGAGUGGAAUUCCGAGUGUAGAGGUGAAAUUCGUAGAUAUCGGGAGGAACACCAGUGGCGAAGGCGGCGACCUGGACGGACACUGACGCUGAGACGCGAAAGCGUGGGGAGCAAACAAG
rnacentral:rRNA from 1 species